rnacentral:rRNA from 1 species
UACGUAGGGGGCAAGCGUUGUCCGGAAUCAUUGGGCGUAAAGCGCGUGUAGGCGGCCCGGUAAGUCCGCUGUGAAAGUCCAGGGCUCAACCCUGGGAUGCCGGUGGAUACUGUCGGGCUCGAGUCCGGAAGAGGCGAGUGGAAUUCCUGGUGUAGCGGUGAAAUGCGCAGAUAUCAGGAGGAACACCGAUGGCGAAGGCAGCUCGCUGGGACGUGACUGACGCUAAGGCGCGAAAGCGUGGGGAGCGAACAGG